ensembl:lncRNA
GUAAGUAAUAAGCUAAGUCUUCUAGCUUCGCUGCCUUAGGAAUCGAGCUCUUUGUUUUAAGCCUCGGGGUCUCAGCAUUUUGGCUUGCUGUGGGUCAGGCAGAACGAGACAGUUCCAGUGAAAUUCUUCUUUUCUGUCUUUCCUAUUCUUUCCUACAUCUUGAUUUACCCAAGAAAACUAAAAGCUAGAGAUACUGAGAGACAUAAGAGGCUCCGAUUCUGGGAUGGGAAGAUCCUCUGGAGGAGGGCAGAGCUACCCACUGCAGCAUUCUUGCUUGGAGAAUCCCAUGGAUAGAGGAGCCUGGCGGGCCACGGUCCACAGGGUUGCACAGAAUUAGACACGACUGAAGCGACUUAGCAGGCACGCAUGCAAGAGAUCCCGUCACCUACCAGAGUGGAUGUGAGCAGCAGCGAGGGUGAAUUUAUGUAGACUUCCCAAGGAGGUCCUAGUGGGUUAAGAAGGAGAAGAAAUAUCAACCCCUCUGGUUUUCUUUGCUGGUACAGCAAAGAGCAGCAUGGUGCCCAGUGGGAUCUCCUGGCACAAGAUCAAGCUGUGUAGAGACUCAGAGCAAUCCCACCACCAGUGAGGGUGUUCCAGGCAGCAAUUAAAUCAUGAUCAUUCCCCUCCGCCACACACACACCUCCCCAACUU